rnacentral:rRNA from 1 species
UUGGAGGGCAAGUCUGGUGCCAGCAGCCGCGGUAAUUCCAGCUCCAAUAGCGUAUAUUAAAGUUGUUGCAGUUAAAAAGCUCGUAGUUGAAUUUUAGGCCUGGCCGGGCGGUCCGUCUUUGGCGAGUACUGUCUGUUGUUGGGUCUUCCUUCUGGUGAACCAGUAUGUCCUUUAUUGGGUGUGUUGGGGAGCCAGGACCAUUACCUUGAAAAAAUUAGAGUGUUUAAAGCGGGCUAUUGCUUGAAUAGAUUAGCAUGGAAUAAUAGAAUAGGACGUUGUGGUUCUAUUUUGUUGGUUUCUAGGACCACCGUAAUGAUUAAUAGGGAUAGUUGGGGGCAUUAGUAUUCAAUUGUCAGAGGUGAAAUUCUUGGAUUUAUUGAAGACUAACUAUUGCGAAAGCAUUUGCCAAGGAUGUUUUCAUUAAUCAAGAACGAAAGUUAGGGGAUCGAAGACGAUCAGAUACCGUCGUAGUCUUAACCAUAAACUAUGCCGACUAGGGAUCGGAUGAUGUUAAUUUUUUAAUGACUCAUUCGGCGCCUUACGGGAAAC